rnacentral:rRNA from 1 species
AACGAACGCUGGCGGCGUGCUUAACGCAUGCAAGUCGAACGCGAAAGGGACUUCGGUCCUGAGUAAAGUGGCGCACGGGUGAGUAACGCGUAGAUAACCUGUCUUCAUGUCUGGAAUAAUACGCCGAAAGGGGUACUAAUACCGGAUAUUCUUGCUUUUCAUAAGUUAUGCAAGCAAAGGCGGCCUCUGCAUAUGCUACUGCAUGAAGAGGGGUCUGCGUACCAUUAGCUAGUAGGUGGGGUAAUGGCCUACCUAGGCGACGAUGGUUAGCGGGUCUGAGAGGAUGAUCCGCCACACUGGCACUGGAACACGGGCCAGACUCCUACGGGAGGCAGCAGUGAGGAAUAUUGCGCAAUGGGGGAAACCCUGACGCAGCGACGCCGCGUGAGUGAGGAAAGGCCUUCGGGUCGUAAAGCUCUGUCAAGAGGAAAGAAGUGUACAAUGGCUAAUACCUGUUGUAUUUGACGGUACCUCUAAAGGAAGCACCGGCUAACUCCGUGCCAGCAGCUGC